rnacentral:tRNA from 1 species
UAUUGAAGAUAUCUAGGUAGUAAUUUAUUACUUUAAAAUAUUAAUAAAAUUUAAUUUUAAUUUUUCAA